rnacentral:rRNA from 1 species
AAAUUGAAGAGUUUGAUCAUGGCUCAGAUUGAACGCUGGCGGCAGGCCUAACACAUGCAAGUCGAACGGUAACAGGAAGAAGCUUGCUUCUUUGCUGACGAGUGGCG